rnacentral:lncRNA from 1 species
UAGAACGGACCUUAUCUAAUUUGAAUUUCCUUUUCCAACUUUUUUUUUUUAAAUUGCAUAUUCAAUUUUCAUCUUUUUUUUAACGUCUGGUUAAUAUGUUAUUACAGUGAUGAAAAAUAUUAUAUAGACGACUUUACGGCCGACAAUUCUACCACCUUAUGAGAAUAUAUGUCUGACUGGAUCACUUCGAUCCGUCUUAUAAGAUUCAUGUUCGAUGGUACGAUAUGUACUAUGUUGAAAGGCUCUUGCAAUCUUUUUUUCCAUAAUCCGAAUAAUUUGCAAUUUUUUUUAUUUAAACCCCAGACAUGUGGCUGUAGAAACAUUAAUGAACUUUUAGCCAAAACAUUUGACUAAGAGGGCUUCUACAUUCACUUUUUAUUUCGUAAUUGAUUUCUUUCUUUCUUUCUUUUUAAAUGGCUCUGCCUCUACGUAUCUGAUUUACCUCAUGCAAUUAUUUCUUUUUUUUUAUCAACUAGGAUUAAAAAACCCUAAAUUUUAUGCAAACAAAUAAACUUUAGAGAUUUUUUUUUUGAAAACCAUAACUAUAUAUAUUCUUAAUUAAAAUAUAAAAUAGAUAAAGCCUGUAUUGAAACGGAAUUAAGGAUACUAGCUUAGCUAUAAUACUUCUUAUAUAUUCACUAUAUUAAUUUCACUUCUUUGAGUCUAUGAACGUGAUAAACUGAAAAAUAUGAACUAUUUUUGUCAUUUAUUUGAGUCAGCAUUCUUAAUUCUCAUGUGCUUCUUCAUUUACUUGUUUAGAUUCUUGUUAGCUCUUUGUUAAUUUAUUCCUUUUGUUUGAUUUAUUCAUGUAUGCUUUAUUAGUUAUGUAGGAAAACCUUGUUUAAAUUUGAUUUACUUAGAGUGAACUACUACUUACGUUCUCAGUGAGUUAGUUUUGGUCCUUGAAGAUCGAUCGACCAUCUCUAAUGAUGACAUAUUGUCAUAUUGUAUGGUUGCAAUUGAGUGUACGUAGUGAGGUUAAUUAAACUCCAGCAUAUAUAUCAUCCCUCUAGGCUCUAGCAAUUGUUGGAGGCAUUCGUUUCAUGACUUGAGUAACUUGGUUUUAAAAGUUGUUUUGUAGUUGAUAUCCCUGUUGGAAGUUUCACACAAAGUGAGGUCUCUUUUAGAAACCUUCUUAAUUUUUUUUUGUCUUUGUCAAACGUAUGAAUGGUCUUGGUUGGAAACUUUAUCAUUGGGGUGUUGUUGGCUUGGAUAUGCUUGAUCUUGCGAAUUUUCUACAUUCGUUUUCUGAUACAAGAGACUAGGGUGGCCCCUUGAAAUUCUUGUUAAGUCAUCGAAUUUGCUGACAAUGUCCAUCAUGCAUUCGUUGAUGAGAAUAACAUUAUUUAUCUUGUUAAACAAUUCUCGUUAAUCUCCUCUCGCCAUUCAUCCUCAA